AGGACGAACGCUGGCGGCGUGCCUAAGACAUGCAAGUCGAACGGAGCCUUCGGGCUCAGUGGCGAACGGCGGAGUAAUACAUGAGCAACGUGCCCCAAAGACUGGGAUAGUCACUGGAAACGGUGGGUAAUACCAGAUGUGACGGACAAUCGGCAUCGAUAGUCCAUUAAACAGUUUUUUGCUUUGGGAGCGGCUCAUGGCCUAUCAGGUAGUUGGUGAGGUAACGGCUCACCAAGCCGACGACGGGUAGCGGGUCUGAGAGGAUGAUCCGCUCGAGUGGGACUGAGACACGGCCCACACACCUACGGGUGGCAGCAGUUGGGAAUCUUGCACAAUGGGGGAAACCCUGAUGCAGCGACGCCGCGUGGAGGAUGAAUGGUUUAGGCCUGUAAACUCCUUUUAUCGGGAAAGACUUAGGACGGUACCCGAUGAAUAAGCACCGGCUAACUACGCGCCAGCAGCCGC
rnacentral:rRNA from 1 species